CACAAAGCAAGCCUGCUCUCACGAAGCUUACGGUCCCGUGGGGAUGACAGCAGAGGCAUAAAGAGAAGUGUGAACCCUGAAAUUAAUAAUGUGCCACACAAUGGACUACGACCGGCUGUUCCGUAGAACGAGGUAGCUCUACAGACACUG
rnacentral:lncRNA from 1 species